GCAGCCGCGGUAAUACGUAGGUGGCGAGCGUUGUCCGGAUUUACUGGGCGUAAAGGGAGCGUAGGCGGACUUUUAAGUGAGAUGUGAAAUACCCGAGCUCAACUUGGGUGCUGCAUUUCAAACUGGAAGUCUAGAGUGCAGGAGAGGAGAAUGGAAUUCCUAGUGUAGCGGUGAAAUGCGUAGAGAUUAGGAAGAACACCAGUGGCGAAGGCGAUUCUCUGGACUGUAACUGACGCUGAGGCUCGAAAGCGUGGGGAGCAAACAGGAUUAGAUACCCC
rnacentral:rRNA from 1 species